GAUGAACGCUGGCGGCGUGCCUAAUACAUGCAAGUCGAGCGAACAGAUGAGGAGCUUGCUCCUCUGACGUUAGCGGCGGACGGGUGAGUAACACGUGGAUAACCUACUUAUAAGACUGGGAUAACUUCGGGAAACAGGAGCUAAUACCGGAUAAUAUAUUGAACCGCAUGGUUCAAUAGUAAAAGACGGUUUUGCUGUCACUUAUAGAUGGAUCCGCGCCGCAUUAGCUAGUUGGUAAGGUAACGGCUUACCAAGGCAACGAUGCGUAGCCGACCUGGGAGGGUGAUCGGCCACACUGGAACUGAGACACGGUCCAGACUCCUACGGGAGGCAGCAGUAGGGAAUCUUCCGCAAUGGGCGAAAGCCUGACGGAGCAACCCCGCGUGAGUGAUAAAGGUCUUCGGAUCGUAAAACUCUGUUAUUAGGGAAGAACAAAUGUGUAAGUAACUAUGCACGUCUUGACGGUACCUAAUCAGAAAGCCACGGCUAACUACGUG
rnacentral:rRNA from 1 species